CCGAGUUUACAACUCCCAAACCCAAUGUGAACCGUACCAAACUGUUGCCUCGGCGGGAUCUCUGCCCCGGGUGCGUCGCAGCCCCGGACCAAGGCGCCCGCCGGAGGGACCAACCAAACUCUUCUGUAGUACCCCUCGCGGACGUUUAUUAAUCUGAGCUAGGCUCUCGUAGGCAGUUCGAAAAUGAAUCA
rnacentral:misc_RNA from 1 species